GAACUUCUCAUCUUCCAAAAUCAAACUCUGCACCAAGUAAAUAAUCACUCUCCACCUUCCCCAUCUGCUGGCAGCCGCCGUUCUUACUGUGUGUCCCUAUGACUUCAAGUAUCCUAGGUACCUUAUGGUCUUGCUCUGUUGCUCAGGCUGGCCUUGAACUCGUGCUCCAAUGAUCCUCUUGCUUCAGCCUCCCAAGUAGCUGAAAAUAGAGCCUCUGGAAUGAUGGAAUUACAAGCAUGCGCCACCAUGCCCAGCUCAGAGUGCAUUGUACAAAAGAAUAUACUGGGCAGAGACCCAGUCUCAUAAAUAUUUCAUUCCUCCAUCCCACCUAGAAGAGUUGAAGCCAGCCUGGCUUCAAGAACCUGCUGGAGAAGAUCUGCAAGUGCUGGAGCUACUGGGUACAAGGGAACCCUUUCGGCACCUUGGUCUAAGCUUGUGCAGGAAGAAAGAAAGAACGGGAC
ensembl:lncRNA